rnacentral:tRNA from 1 species
GAUUCAUUGGUGUAGUGGUUAUCACGCUUGCCUGUCACGCAAGAGAACAGGGGUUCGAAUCCCCUAUGAAUCG